rnacentral:rRNA from 1 species
AACGUAGGAGGCGAGCGUUAUCCGGAUUUAUUGGGCGUAAAGCGCAUGCAGGUGGCUCUACAAGUCGGGUGUGAAAGCCUCUGGCUUAACUGGAGGAGGUCGCUCGAUACUGUGGGGCUUGAGGUCGGAAGAGGAAAGCGGAAUUCCCGGUGUAGUGGUGGAAUGCGUAGAUAUCGGGAGGAACACCAGUGGCGAAAGCGGCUUUCUGGUCCGCACCUGACACUAAGAUGCGAAAGCGUGGGGAGCGAACGGGAUUAGAUACCCCGGUAGUCCACGCUGUAAACGAUGGGUACUGGGUAUUGGUGGUAUUGACCCCAUCAGUGCCGAAGCUAACGCGUUAAGUACCCCGCCUGGGGACUACGGCCGCAAGGUUA